ACCCUGUCCUCGCCCGCCACUCACCGGCGCCAGGGGAACGCAGGAGCGUGAGCCCCUUCGCGCCCCCAGCGCCGUCGGCGUCGCUGCCCCAGACACAGACACUGCCUCGAGAGGCCUCACAGAGGCGGGGGCAGAAGGCGGCGACCCAGAGCCGCCACAUCCCCCGCCUUGGGCGCCGUCACAGUCCCCAGACGCCCUGGACUCCUGCAGUCUACGAAGACGCGCGGGGGACGGCGUGGUUCCGAGAGAGGGCGCCAAAGGCGACGUGCCGGCCGCCAGCUCCAGGCCGAGCCCCGAGCGCCUGCAGGAACACGCCCCUUCACCCGGCGCGGGACGCAGAGCUGCGAGAGAAUCUUGUUCAGCGCGGACUCAACGCCAGGGCGCCGCCUAGAGGUUGGUCUCUGUCUCGGCCUCACCCGCCGGGAGACCACAGAGCUGCUUCCCCAGCCGCCCGCCGCCAGAAAUUGGAAAAAAAAAAAAAAAAAAAAAAAAAAUCCAGCUGGGGUCUAGGAACUCGGCUUCUGGCACCUCUGAAUUCUCCGAGACUGUCUCCUCCCUCCCCGCCUGUAAUGAACCCUGUGAAGGGAGACAGGCCAGGAAGUCCCAGAAAUAUUUAUUCUUGUGACUCUCACAAAAUGGAAAAGGGUCUCAAUUUUUGUUUCUUUAAGGAACUUGUGUUCUGCGUCUGUGUCUACACUGCCUCCUCUCACCAACCAAAUUGUCUAGCCCCCCUCCAGUUACGCUAGAACUCUGCUUUAUCUUCAAGGAAGAAAGGGAGUGGGGAGAAGUUACCUCUAAACCCUCCAGCAUGGCCAUCAAUUUUCUGAAUAAUUUGGAGGUCAACAUGCUUUUGGAAAAGUGUUUGGAAAACGUUUGGGGGUGAAAAGAAAUGUUGCCUAACUGGCCUUUACUCACGGAGUGACCAUCAUCUCAGCUAGUUAGUGUAUGAGCGGCACCAGCACCCCGGCCAUGGGUGUCUGUGCUGAGCCUCUGAAAGUUGACUUAUCCUUUGGGGAGCCCUCGGAAAGACACAGCUGGUAUCUAUGGGAAUGGCUUUGGGGUGUCCUUUGGCACCAUACAGAUAAUUUUGUUUUUUUAAUUGGAAUCCAUGGCCUGGGUUCUUGGGAUGGGGGUAGGGGGAAGCCACAAAGCCCCUGGAAAUGUAUGCAAAACAUAUGGGUGUGCAGGUGCAUCAUCCUAAGGCUAUGGCCUCUUCAGUUUUUCCAAAGAGUCUAAGACUAUAAAAGGUUUCCAUCUCCUUUUCUCAGCCAGGGAGCCACAGAGACCCAGGCCAGCAGUAGGCUGGGAGCCAGCACACCGGCCCCCACCAGGUGCCCGGUAGGGGAUGGGUAAUAACACUCUUGAAUGGUCUGGAAACUGCUGGCCCCUCAGUCCUGCCGUCCUCCCAGAGGGAAAUCCUAAUAGAAGAAGUGACAGCCAGUAGCUGCCAUCUCAGUAUUUUGAAUGAAAAUAUAACAUGAUAAAGAGCAAAUGAGGGAGGCUGGAGGGGCCUCCCCAUGCAAAUACUGGAAUAUGAAUGUUGGCCAGAAAUAAGAUACUUCCUGCCCUCCAGCUGUUAAAGAGCUCCCCAAUUCCUCCCUUUUGGUGCUAGGAAGGGGCCAGAGGGCACUGCCCCCAGACCACCACCCACCUCUGGAGAGCUGGGGCCGAGUGGGACUGCCUGCAGCAGAGUUAACCCUUCAGAAAAUUCAAAACCUAUACUGCCUAGUAUUUUCCCUGCCCGUUUAUUUUUUAAUCAGAUUUUUAAAAUAUCCAGCAGCACUUUGGUGCCUUUUCUUGGGGUUGGGGAGUGGGGUUAUCUAUGUGUGUAUCUAUGGGAAGGUGGGUGCCUUCAGUGCACUAAACCCCCUCUUGGGCCUGCAGCUGGACCUCACUCCUGUACCUGAACACUCUGCCUGAGCCUGAGCUAAUCUUAGCCAUCCAUUGUGUCUCAAAACUGUUUUGGAGGUGAAUAACUGUGAGGCAGGAUGGAGAACCUUUUGCUCUCCCAUCCAGAAGGGCACCUAACCAGGCCCCUGGAGCAGACAAAAGGAGCAGGAAGUCAAUCACUUCGAUCCCAGUUCUCUGAAGCCCAAGAAGAAAACGGAUUUUCCUUCGUUUUGGUUCGGAGGCCUAGUAGAGAAUUUGGAUUCCACCAAGUUCUCUUUUUUCAAAAAAAGUAAACGGUCCAGAGCAGACAAAAACUGUGGAAACUUGA
rnacentral:lncRNA from 1 species